UGGGUGAUCUGCCCUGCACUUCGGGAUAAGCCUGGGAAACUGGGUCUAAUACCGGAUAGGACUACGAAUCGCAUGGUUUGUGGUGGAAAGCUUUUGCGGUGUGGGAUGGGCCCGCGGCCUAUCAGCUUGUUGGUGAGGUUACGGCUCACCAAGGCGACGACGGGUAGCCGGCCUGAGAGGGUGACCGGCCACACUGGGAUUGAGAUACGGCCCAGACUCCUACGGGAGGCA
rnacentral:rRNA from 1 species